GAUGAAGAACGUAGCGAAAUGCGAUAAGUAAUGUGAAUUGCAGAAUUCAGUGAAUCAUCGAAUCUUUGAACGCACAUUGCGCCCGCCAGCAUUCUGGCGGGCAUGUCUGUUCGAGCGUCAUUUCAACCCUCGAGCCCCCCCGGGGGCCUCGGUGUUGGGGGACGGCACACCAGCCGCCCCCGAAAUGCAGUGGCGACCUCGCCGCAGCCUCCCCUGCGUAGUAGCACACACCUCGCACCGGAGCGCGGAGACGGUCACGCCGUAAAACGCCCAACUUCUUAGAGUUGACCUCGGAUCAGGUAGGAAUACCCGCUGAACUUAAGCAUAUCAAUAAGCGGAGGA
rnacentral:misc_RNA from 1 species